GUCCUUUUGUUUAAUAAUUUAAGGUCUGGCCUGCCCACUGAAAUUUAAAUGGCCGCAGUAUUUUGACUGUGCAAAGGUAGCAUAAUCAUUAGUUUUUUAAUUAAAAGCUUGUAUGAAGGGUUGGACGAAGUAAAAUCUGUCUCUAUUUAAUUUAUAUUAAAAUUUAAUUUUUAAGUUAAAAAGCUUAAAUAUUAUUAAAAGACGAGAAGACCCUAUAGAUCUUUAUAUUUUAUUUAUUAAUUUUAAUAUAGAAAUUUUUAUUUUUUAAUAUUAAAAAUAUUUUAUUGGGGUAAUAAAGAGAUUAAAUAAAUUCUUUUUUGAAUUUAACAUUAAUUUAUGAUUGUAAGAUCCAAUUUUUUUGAUUAUAAGAUUAAGUUACCUUAGGGAUAACAGCGUAAUUUUUUUUGAGAGUUCAUAUCGAUAAAAAAGUUUGCGA
rnacentral:rRNA from 1 species